rnacentral:snoRNA from 1 species
UCCUUCUUGUAUAAGCACUGUGCUAAAAUUAUAAAAAUUAUGAUCCUAUCUUGGUUUUUGUAAUAAUGCUAGCAGAGUACACACAGGAAGAAGAGUAACUGCACAAGAUCCCCAAGACUGGGGUGGACCUCUUUCUUAAUGUACAGUGUCCUUUGUCUUAAGAUUUGGUGCAAUAUUG